rnacentral:lncRNA from 1 species
AAUUAUAUAUAGAGAGAGUUCGGUUACUAUACUGUUAUUAGUAUAGACCCCUUUAUACUCAUGUGACAGCACCGUUUGGAUCGGGGAUAAGGGGAGGGAUAACCUCUUAUCCCCCCCUUUAUACCCAAACGUAAAUUUUUUACGCGAGAAUAAUAGUUCUCAUGUACCUUAAAUAAGCUGGUAUAACUAUCCCCACCAACACCUUCAUUUUCUAUAUAUAACUACCCACUAUUUUUCUUAUCCCAUAUUAUCUAUCCAAACGCUAUUUUUUUUUAUUCCCGCGAAUAACCAAAUUUUCAUCCAAACGCUAUUUUUUUUAUCCCCAUGCUUGUACCUAUCCCUGUAAUAGCUAGUUCUUACUUAUACCCGAACCAAACGCUAUAAGUUUUUGAUUGUUAGAUCUAUACUUUUGACCAUUUCCAUCCGUAAAUCAUACUAUUCAACUAACCACCCAUUCAAUCAUAGGGGACCAGUAUCAUCCUAAUUGCACAUCCAACGGUCGAAAAUUUAUGAGUAUAAUAGAGUCUAUACUCAUAAGAGUAUUAUAGCCUUAGCUUAUAUAUAUAGAAUUAGGCUACUAUACUAUUAAUAGUAUCAACUGCUUGUUAUUAGGUUUCGGCCCUUGAAUGAAGGGAUGUGUGGUCAGGAUGAUAGCUAGGGUUGAGGAGGUGGCAAGUUGAAUUGCAUGAUCUUACGGAUGAAAAUAGCCAAAAGGAUAGAUCUAAUAGCAGAAAACUCGAUAGAACCAAACACUUGGUACUAUCAAUAGUAUAGGAGCCGGACUCUCUAUAUUUAGGUAGAUCUAACGACAAAAAACUCUAUAGCACAAAAUGAUCGGUACUAUAGAUAGUAUAAUAGCCGGACUAUAUAUAUAGAGAGAGAUAGAGUCCGGCUACUA